rnacentral:rRNA from 1 species
AGAGUUUGAUCAUGGCUCAGAACGUACGCUGGCGGCACGCCUUAUACAUGCAAGUCGAACGAAGUAGCAAUACUUAGUGGCAGACGGGUGAGUAACAUGUAGGUAUCUUCCCUUUGGUGAGGAAUAACACGAGGAAACUUGUGCUAAUACCUCAUAAGUCUUUACGGAGAAAGCUUUAUGCGCCAAAGGAUGAGCCUGCACUUGAUUAGUUUGUUGGUGGGGUAAUGGCCUACCAAGACUUUGAUCAAUAGCUGAUCUGAGAGGAUGAUCAGCCACAUUGGGACUGAGACACGGCCCAAACUCCUACGGGAGGCAGCAGUAGGGAAUAUUGCACAAUGGAGGAAACUCUGAUGCAGCGAUGCCGCGUGAGUGAAGAAGGCCCUUGGGUUGUAAAGCUCUUUCGUCGGGGAAGAAAAUGACUGUACCCGAAUAAGAAGGUCCGGCUAACUUCGUGCCAGCAGCCGCGGUAAUACGAAGGGACCUAGCGUAGUUCGGAAUUACUGGGCUUAAAGAGUUCGUAGGUUGUUAAAAUAGUUGGUGGUGAAAUCCCAGAGCUUAACUCUGGAACUGCCAUCAAAACUUUUUAGCUAGAGUAUGAUAGAGGAAAGCAGAAUUUCUAGUGUAGAGGUGAAAUUCGUAGAUAUUAGAAAGAAUACCAAUUGCGAAGGCAGCUUUCUGGAUCAUUACUGACACUGAGGAACGAAAGCAUGGGUAGCGAAGAGGAUUAGAUACCCUCGUAGUCCAUGCCGUAAACGAUGUGUGUUAGACGUUGGAAAUUUAUUUUCAGUGUCGCAGCGAAAGCAUUAAACACACCGCCUGGGGAGUACGACCGCAAGGUUAAAACUCAAAUGAAUUGACGGGGACCCGCACAAGUAGUGGAGCAUGUGGUUUAAUUCGAAGAUACGCGCAGAACCUUACCAACACUUGACAUGUUCGUCGCGACUUUAAGAGAUUAAAGUUUUCGGUUCGGCCGGACGAAACACAGGUGCUG